rnacentral:rRNA from 1 species
GCCCUCCUACGGGACGCAGCAGUGAGGAAUAUUGGUCAAUGGGCGAGAGCCUGAACCAGCCAAGUCGCGUGAGGGAAGACGGUCCUAUGGGUUGUAAACCUCUUUUGUCGGAGAACAAAACCCGGGACGUGUCCCGGACUGCGUGUAUCCGAAGAAAAAGCAUCGGCUAACUCCGUGCCAGCAGCCGCGGUAAUACGGAGGAUGCGAGCGUUAUCCGGAUUUAUUGGGUUUAAAGGGUGCGUAGGCGGUCCGUUAAGUCAGCGGUAAAAUUGCGGGGCUCAACCCCGUCGAGCCGUCGAAACUGG